AGUGAACGCUGGCGGUAGGCCUAACACAUGCAAGUCGAACGGCAGCACAGUAAGAGCUUGCUCUUACGGGUGGCGAGUGGCGGACGAGUGAGGAAUACAUCGGAAUCUACUUUUUCGUGGGGGAUAACGUAGGGAAACUUACGCUAAUACCGCAUACGACCUUCGGGUGAAAGCAGGGGAUCUUCGGACCUUGCGCGAUUGAAUGAGCCGAUGUCGGAUUAGCUAGUUGGCGGGGGAAAGGCCCACCAAGGCGACGAUCCGUAGCUGGUCUGAGAGGAUGAUCGGCCACACUGGAACUGAGACACGGUCCAGACUCCUACGGGAGGCAGCAGUGGGGAAUAUUGGACAAAGGGCGCAAGCCUGAUCCAGCCAUACCGCGUGGGUGAAGAAGGCCUUCGGGUUGUAAAGCCCUUUUGUUGGGAAAGAAAAGCAGCAGGUUAAUACCCCGCUGUUCUGACGGUACCCAAAGAAUAAGCACCGGCUAACUUCGUG
rnacentral:rRNA from 1 species